rnacentral:lncRNA from 1 species
CAGUAAACCACUUUUUACACUUUGAAUCUCAACAUUUUUGGAAGAGCUCCAAUUAAUUGUGGUGACCAUGAGGGUGGGUGGUAUUGGAGGUGGCAGUGAUUGUGUUACAGAGGUUGUGUGGUGGCAGUGGAGGCUGGGAUAUUGGCAGAGGCAGUGAUGGGAUGAUGGUGGAGGUAGAAGUGCAGAUGGGAUGGUGGCAGCAGACAGCAGAAGUAAUGAGGUGGUUGAGAAAUGGCAGCAGUUGUAUGGUGGGAAGAGGGAUGAAUGUAAAACCAACAGGGCAAGCAUGGCAGGAGAUGGGGACGGGGGUGAGGACAGUAGUGGUGGUGGCAGCAGUGAUGUGGUGUUUGUGAUGGAGUGGUAGUCAUUACAAAGGAGGUGAUGAACCAUAUGGUGUUGGUGGCACAACACUUAAUUCACGGUACUUUGUCUAAUUUGCCGAUCUAUUUCAUGUCUAUUUUCCAGUUGCCUAGGGUAGUUAGAAUGGAGCAUAUUCAAAGGGAUUUUUUGUGGGUGGUGGGGCUCUUGAACAAAAACUUCACUUAGUAAGGUGGUCGAACGUUUGUUUAGAUAAAAGAAAAGGAGGGUUGGGGGUUAAGAGUCUUGGGACAUUCAAUAGGGCUCUCCUUGGCAAGUGAAGUUGGCGCUUUGCAAAUGAAAGAAAGGCCCUUUGGAACCAAGUGAUUAGAAGGAAAUAUGGGGAGGAAAGAGGAGGGUGGAGCUCUUGUGAGGCUAGGGAGGCUUAUGGAGUUGGGUUGUGGAAAGCAAUUAGAAAGUUGGGGCACCUAGUGACCCCUUCUUUUGACUUUGUAGUGGGUAAUGGAAGGAAGGUGAGAUUUUGGAAAGACAAGUGGUGUGGAACCACUCCUUUGUGUGAGUUCUUCCCUUGUUUAUUUGCUCUAGCAACUUCUAAAGAGGCUUGGGUAAAUGAAGUUUGGACAACUGCGGGGGAAUGAGGGGGAAGUUGGGGCCCUUGUUUCAUUAGGCCUUUCAAUGAUUGGGAGAUGGAAGAGGUGGGAAGGUUGUUUUGUUGCUUGGAUGGGAAGAAGGUAAAUGUGGUUGAGGAGGAUAGGGUGAGGUGGAUGGACUCGAAUAAUGGCUUGUUUUCGGUAAAGCCUUUGUUUAGAGCCUUGCAUCCGGUUUCUCUUGUUUCUUUCCCUUCGAAGAUUAUAUGGAACUCUUGUGUGCAGCCUAAAUUAAGUUUCUUUGCUUGGAAGGCUUCGUGGGGAAAAGUUCUAACUUUUGACCGUUUGCAAAAGAGGGGUUGGCCUUUGGCUAAUAGAUGCUUUCUGUGCCAAAUGUUUGAGAAGACGAUUGAUCACCUCCUUCUCCAUUGUGAAAAAACAAGGGAAGUGUGGAUGUUGCUCCUUUCUUUGUUUGGAGUGUCUUAGGUGUUUCCCUUUUCAGUAAAGGAAACCCUCUUAGGGUGGAGGGGUUCUUUUGUGGGUAAAAAGAGGAAGGCGGCGUGGCAAGUGGGACCGUUAUGUUUUUUUUGGGUCAUUUGGAAAACAAGGAAUAACAUUUCCAUUGAAGAUAGUGUGUUGUCCAUCCAAAGGUUGAAAGCUUCUUUUAUGUAUUUACUGUGGUUGGAGACUAAAUUGUGGAUAAAAGGUGGUCCUUUGACCUUAAUAGAAUGGGUGGGUUCGCGGUGAGGGAGAAGGUUUUUUGUUUUCUUCUUGUUUUUGGGUUCAGAUGUAAGGGGGAGAGUGUCUCUAUACUGUACUUCUUUGGGUCGCUAUUUUAGUGCCUCUUCGUAAUAAAAUUCUUUUGCUUAUUUAUCAAAAAAAUAUGGUGCUGGUGGCGCAGCAGUACUGAUGUGGCAUAGAGCCUAUAAAAUAAAACUUUAGGAAGUAUGGGAACAUAAGGGUCUGUUUAGGAACAUUUUCAAAAAAUGGUUUUUAAAAUAGUUCAGUAGCCCAUCAAACUUGAUGCAUGUUGCCACCCAAAAAAUGAACCAGUAUAGAUGGAAUGCAAUCACCCCAGUGGAUCUAACAUCUUGCUCUUUGAUAUCCAUACUGGGAGCAACCAAUUAAGAAGACUCAAGAAAAUUUUAUGCUUCUCACUAGAAGAUUCACCUACCAAUCAUAGAAUAGAACAAGAUACGCAUAUUUAAAGCAAAAGAAAUUACAGGAGAAACAGAUAAUCACCAUCAACAACAAGUCAAAAAGAGCAAUUCUCAAAGUAAUAAGUGAUCAGAGCAGAGUCAUCAUAAGGAUAAUUUUUAUCAUAAGAUGAGAACACACCUCCAAUGGCAAAAGGCUGCUCCAAAAUUGUCCCUCCAAGAGGCACUCCAUAUAUUUUACCUCCCUCAUGCUUGUCCCAUCCACCAACAAUCAGACCAGUUUGUAGCAUAUUCUGUCAAAGUUUAAAAAGAUAAAUGAAAAGCGCACCAAAAAUGAGAUAUAUGAUUAGCCUGUGGAAAUACAUGUGCAAUUGUUUGUUCCUUUCCUUAACAAGUUAUUCACGUAUUUGGAAUAUUCAUCCUCUACUAAUCCAUUUAUAUGUAUGUAUGUAUGUAUACACUUCAUAUUCAUUGGACAAUGAUAUCUAAUGCAACAUCUAAUAGAUGGAAAGAUGGAAACAAUGCAAAGUUUCUUAGGAAUAUCUUGCAUAUCUUGGCCAAUCUCCUUUUUGGCUUGAGAAUAAAAUCCUUAACAAGCUUAGUUAUGAUAUCCUUGCUAUCAACCACCAAAUUUGGAAGGUAACCAGCUCUUGCAAAUUGGCCACUAUGUAACAUAUUUUUUCAUUAUCCGCAAUGUAACAUAUUACACACAGUCUAUUGACCAAACAAGUCCAAUGGAAAUAUGAAAGAAUUAAUUCAAAAAAAAUAAAUAAAAGGACCUGUAUGAGAAAAAAAGGCCAAAUUUGUUUAAUAGUGUGAAUUUAUAGACAGGACCCAGAGCAUUUCCCAAACUGUAAUAAUUUAACAGAUUAAGAUACAAUAAGAAAAUAAAACCAUACCUUAUUAUUGUAUGAUAUUAACCUGACAAGGUUUGCAGCAACCUUGACAGUGGCAGGUUGCCCAAGCUGUAUACUGCAUGAAACAUUAUGGCUUGAGUAAGAGUUCCAUAUUAAAAAAGAAAAAGUUAGAAGCAUCAACAACAAAAACAAGUUAAAUUAAACCCUAGGUGUCUUGUUCCCAUAAGUAUAACAAGAAAAUCCAAGGACAUAUGUCUAUGACAGAAUCAAAUACAGGGGAAACAAAAUGAUGGAAUAUAAAAAAUAAGUGCGAAAAAAUUGAGUAAGGCUUAUAUUAUAUUUCUAUACUAAGUUCCAAUGAAACAGAAAUACAUGACUACAGACAAAAACUCCUUGGUAGGGCAGCCUAAGGAUUAAACAAUGAUAGACCACAAAGAUCCAGAAAAAGGGUAUGCAAGAAAUGGCAUAUAUCACAUGUUAAAGAGUUUCAUUUUUUACUUUCUUUCAGAUUGCUAACAUUCAAAAUUCUGACCAAAUUUUUUAUCAGGAAAAAAUUUGAUCGACUUUGAUCAAUUAAGCCAUUUAAAAGAAAGCCCAUGAUGUUUGUAUGUUGUCUUGAUUUGUGCUUUGUAUGUCCUCCCUUGGCUUGUUUAAACUUUUUUGGGAACUCACUGGAAACUCUUGACUCUUCUUCCUUUGAACCAUAUUAUGAUGGGGCCCAUGCCAAGACAUACUCUUUUUGGAAAUAUAACAACAUUGUCAUUGCAACGCUUUUCUGAUAGGCAAACAAACAUACAUUAGUAACAUCUAAUGAAAAGAUAUAUGUGUGUGGGGUGGGGUGAGGGGUUGCACCCCAAAUACAAGUGAGGCAUACAAAUGAUGCCUACAGAUGGGGAAAAAAACAACCAAAAGCCACAACAGCAUUGCCACAACUUAGCACUCAACCAUUCAAUAAAGGUUAUCAAGGGCAAAGAACCAGCUUGAAGAGACUGGGCAGACCAUAAAAAUUAUAACAAGUUCUAAUGAUAGAUAACCAUUCAACAAUGAUAAAUGAUAACAAGUUCUAAUAAAAGAUGCCUAUAGAUGGAAAAAAACAACCAAAAGCCACAACAGCAUUGCCACUCCUUUGCACUCAAUCUUUCAAUAAAGUUUAUCAAGGACAAAAAGGACCAGCUUGAAGAGACUAGAACAACAAUAAAAAUUAUCACUAGUUCUACUAAUAGAAAACCAUUCAACAACAAUAAAUGGAAAUUGUAAUCGAAACCAUCAAAAUUCACUUACGUGUGCUGAUGGAGAUAGUAACGCACAUAAUCAGAUAAAAUUUGAGAAUCUGCCGCCUGAAAAUGAACAAUGUUGUGAAUGGAAGCCACACUAAUGUAUAAGUCACUAAUUUUCAAGUAUUCCACUAAUUUAGUUAUUUCACUCAAACAAUGUGUCUGAUUUCUGGACUUAUCAACAACUCUAUAACAGAUUCAUGUCAUGCAAAAAACAUUUACAAGCUUUAAUGCAUAAUGCAUUUGAAAAGAGCAUAAAGUAUUGAGAAUAGUGCAUGCCUUGAUAGAAAUGGGUAACAUGGUUCAGAACUUGAGAUAGUGAUGUCCAAUUGAGAUAUUGUUCUUAAGCAACUCACUAACUAAAGAAAAGCAAACUGUUCUCUCAGCUUCUGAAAAAGUGUUAGGCACACGUGGACAUUUUGUUGUGUCAACAAGCAUCCGAUUCACUAAACAAGAGGGGGGAGAUGUGCCUUGUAUAUCAUAGCUUAAUACAUGUGGUAGAUAUUGUAAUUAGCUUGAUUAUGUCUCUCAUUGGAUAUGCAGCUUGGGCCAUUUAUGCUUAUCAAUAAUUCGUGAUUACUCUAGACCAACAAAAACAGAAUUCAUAAUCUCUGAGUUUUAGACACAUUGUCGUAUGGCAUGCCUAAAGGUCCUCCAUGAGUAAGAGAUACAAUAAUGCCCAUUUAAAUCCCACCAGGGCCAUGAUUAUCCUAUGCUCAAAACAUGUGUGCAGUUUAAAUCCUACACACCCAAAAAGGUCUACAAAACCUCCUUGAAAACAGAAUAUAAGAAAGAAAUGGGAGAGCGUUUAAUGAUGUCGAAUGGGCUGAACAAACCAUCAAACAUUCUUUUUUGUAUAUUUUUGUGAAUUGGGCUAGGGUGUAUAUAGAGGAUCACACUUUGUCAUUGGUUGAUUUUGUAGAUUGGUCAUUCAUUAAGUAAAGGGUGGGCUUGUUUUUCUUUGUGAUGCCUAGUGUUUUGGGCGUUUAGUGUAUACUUCGCGUGUACUGUUUUCGCCAUUUUUUGGCUUUUCUAAUACAUGCUCUUACUUACCUAUCAAAAAAAAAAAAAAAAAAAAACAGAAUAGAAGAAAGAGACCAUCAUUGUGCUUGUUACAAUUUCUACCUUUGUUUAGCUCACUCCUAGCAUGAUUUCUUAUUCAUGCAUCAAACCAUUGUGAAUGAAACCAACUUAGCUUUAGCUCACCCGAAGUCCCAAGUGUUAGGAAAGUUAAUUAGAACAGAGAACAUACAAAAAAUUUUGCCCUAGGGUGCAUUGAAUAUUAAUUUUUGAAAUCCACGCGGUUUCACAGUUGGGCAAAGUAUAUGAGAAACCUGGACUUGGACCAUAAAUGAAAAGAAAACUCAGAGCACGGGCUUUCAAUAACAGAUCUUAUAUAACAAAAAAAUCAAACUUAGCAUGACAUUAUACGGAAAAGCGGAGAAAGCAUUACCGAUCCAGAACGACACAAGUAGACAUUAUCAGUCAGCUGCGUGAUCUUGUCGGAUGCUCGAUUCGCAACAUAAACUCCUGAAGUAAACAAAUUACACAAUCAAAACUAAUUUCAGGAAAAGCCGACGCCAAAACAAGAUAGGAUUUUCAAAUUCUAUUAUAGGCCAAGAAAGCAACAAUGCACGAUCUAAACAAGCGGAAUCAAAUCUCUGUUUGGUUGCCGAGAAUGAGCCAGUGAAAAUUUUGUUUGGUUUUCCCCAUCUUCUCGGAACCAAACAGCUGAAGGUGCAAUAGAGAGUAGAAGUAGAACCGGUGCUAGUUCGAGAAUCGGCGCCAAGAACGACGCCUCCGUUGUAGGUGACGCCGAUGAUGGUGGUGCCCAUGGAAUGAGGUUGAUUGAGAUGGUCCAUUUUUAGAAUCCCCGAAAUCACAAAACCCUAGAAAUGGAAGAAGAGUUGAGCUUUCUUGCCUGUCAAGCCACUGUAUUUGGUGUUCCACCUCCAGAUGAUCAAUUGUGGGCAUUUUAUAUACCAACACAUAUUUAUACAAUUAUACCAUUAUUUUAAAAAGGACCGGAAGUAAAAACUUUUUAUUCUAUUAUAAUAAUAAUCAACUUUUUAUUUUAGAAAAUAGUUUUUGAUGUUUUUAAAAAUAAAAUUAUGUUUGAAAAAUGAAUUUUAAAAAAAUAGUUUUUGUUAUCAAAAGCCAAAAAAUAAUGUUUAAUAGUGUUAAUAAAAAACAUCUUUGGGAAGUGUUUUUUAAAAUAGUUUUUGAUGUUUUUAAAAACAAAAUUAUGUUUGGAAAUUGAAUUUUAAAAAAUAGUUUUUGUUAUCAAAAGUAAGAAAAGAUAUGUUUAAUUGAGUUAAUAAAAAACAUGUUUAGGAAGUAUUUUUUAAAACAAUUCUAGAAAACAGUUUUUAAUGUUUUUAAAAACAAAAUUAUGUUUAGAAACUAAAUUUCAAAAAAUUGUUUUUGUUAUUAAAAACAAAAAAACCAUGUUAAAUUAAGUUAAUAAAAAUAUUUUUUUUAAACAAUUAAAUGUUUUCUUCAAUUAACUUGAUGUUAUAAAUAUAUAAAUAAUUUUUACAUUGACAUUUUAUUAAAAUUAAAAAAAUUAUUCUACUUUGAAAAUUAUUUGCAUCAGCUUUAAUUUUUUUUUAAAACAAAGUACUAAUUUGUAAACAAAUCUAACUAUAGUUGAUUUUAAUAAAAAAUUUAUUUGUACUUGAUUUUUUUUUUUUUUUUUUGUUAUAAAUGUUGAGGGGUCACCCUGUCGUGACAAUGAAAGAUACCUCAAAACUAGUGCUUUACGCCCUGUUGCCUCUUGACAACUACGCAACCUUUUGUCGAACCCUACCCUGUGAGGUAAACCUUAGGGAUAAGAGCCAACACUUCAUCACAUUGUCAUGUAGUGAGAACACCCCAUAGGCUCAACAUGCCUCUUAAAUAGGGAGAGGACUUAUAGCACCGCUAGCUCUGAUACCAUUCACACUUAGGACAUAAAAUAGUUCAUGCAUACAAAAAAUUACUAAUUAUGUUUAUGAAUCAAAACAGAAAAACAGAAAAAUAGAAAAAACAAAAAUUUAAUGUCUAAUUUAUAAUAGAAUUGAACACAAGAACAUAGAAAUUGAAUCUGAAAUAAAACUUUUAUAUUGAAAAUUAUACCUUGAUUAUAAGAGAAAGUUGUUGAUUAUAUACUGACUUGUUGACAACAUAGGGAUAUGAAUACAAAGGAAGAGAUUUUUAGAAAGAGAGGGAUUACAAAAGCUAAGAGAGAUUUUUAUAGAACACUCUUGAAGGCUUUGAUCUUCACUUUCUCCGCUCUUAUCGCUCUAUUUUGUGAUGAACUCUUUGUCUUUAUUUAUAGAGGAAAUUAACGGAUUUGAAACUUGAUGAAGUCCACGGGCUUGAGACUUGUAUGAAUCCAAAAAUAAUUUGAGGAGACAGUUAGCUGGUCUUUUGCUUGAUUCGAAAAAAUUACUUCAUGUCAGGAAGGCUUAGGUCAACACUAUUUCAAUAGUGUUUGAUUUUAUUUAUUUAUUUUUGCAUUUUAUACUUCUCUUCUUUUCCAAACUUUUUUUAUUAUUAUUUUUAUUUUUACUGGAUAAGUACAAGGAGACAAAUGUACAAAUAUACAAUUGUACAAAAGAUUUUGAAAUCUUUUAAUCGAGCAUCUCUAGGAGAAUUUUUUCAAACUCUCUUCAAGCUUGCUUUUCUUGAACGUAAUAUUUUUUGUAUUUAUCAACAAUAUAGGAAAAUUGGGUUUAGAAUAGAAGAGGGACUUUAGGAAAAACAUUUGCAGAGAUGAUUUUUUGAAUAUUGUCCUCAAUGAUGAGUUUAUAGUUAGAAGAACUAUAAAUCUCAAAAUCAAGGUCUCUUACUAUCAUUCUUGACCUCCAAUGACGAAUUUGUUUUUUGAGGUUGACUUUAGUACAGGGCGAAAGGGUCCUCUAUACCAAACAAUUGAUGCUUUCUGUAAUUAGCUUCAAGAAGGAUGAUAUGUUGCGCUGGGUAGACUCCUUCAUCAUUCGACUACUCAGGAGGCUUACUUUCAAUAAUGAGUUCAAUGGAUUUGAAUUCUAGGAUAAAGACGUUUAAUAUGCAAACUGUUAAUUUCCUUCCAAAUCCAUUAGUUUGCUCAGGAUUGGAGAAAAUUAGUUAAUAAAGUAACCCAUAAUUCAUGAGGAGAGCAAUGGUCAAUUAUAUUGACUCAUUAUUGAAUUUAAUGACUAUUGGUCUAUAUUUGUCUAAGUCGAUACUGGCCUUAUAAAUACUAUAAGUGAGGGCACACUUACAGUCUUGUCUUUCUAAUGGAAUUGCCCUACACAAGGGGUCAAGCUUUGGACACUCAAUAUUGGUGUUGCCAUAAUGAGUAUGCCAAAUAAAACUCAUCAAUUGAAUAAUAACUCCAAAAAUGCUACAGUUAGCAAUAAAUUACAUUAUAUGCUCUUGCUUGGCUUCCCCUAUAACUGCCUUCAGACUUAUUAUCUAUCUAAGGUCUUGAGGGAAAUUUAAAAUCUUUUGUUUAUAAAAAUAAAAUUUUGAUUUUUGAAAUUCUAAACUUUCUUCAUAAAGUUUUGGAAAUUCAUUUUGAAGAAAUUUUGAAAAUGUGGUUAUUGACUUUUCUUUUGUUUCCUGCAAUUGAAAUUUUUAAGAUCUAUAUCCAUUGGGGUGCAAUGUAUAUCAAAACUUGAAGGGUUAGAAAAACUAUCUAAAUUAUCAUUAGUAUAUUUAAAAUGAAAAGAUAAGACAUUUAAAGCUUCUAACUUUUGGUUAUCACUUCGUACAUUCCAAAGGUUGUCUAAAAUACAUUUCUACGAUCUAUCUAAAUUUUUUUGUCUUUAUGAAUUCGAAAUGACAAAUUACUUUUAGGAAAUACGGGAAUAGUGAAUUGCCCAAUCUUAAUCCGUUCUUGCUCUAUCUAUAAAGAAAAUUCAAAUGUUAUUAAAUUCUUGAAAACAUAAAUAAGAUAUCUAAGCAUUUUAUCUUUAGUAUACCAAAAUUCAAAAUAUAUUGAAUUUAUAAGGGGCAGAUAAUUAUGAAUAAAAAUAUUUAAAGGAGUUUUUGAACCUUUUGAAAUUAAAUUUAUAAAUUUAUAAGAACAUGCACAAAUACCAUUAAAUAUUUUUUAUCGUCUGAUUCAUCUCAACUUGAUUCUUCACUUGAUAUUUCUUGAGUUAUUAAUAUUUGAUUUUCUUCUUUUGAUUCAUAAUAUUCACUAGAAUCUUCUUCUUCUUCUUCUUCUUUAUUAAUUAUUAAUUCUAUCAUUAGAUUUUUGAGUUUACGCUAAUUUUUAGGGAAUUAAUUUUGUUUUCUAAUUGACAAUAUUUUAAAUAGUAACCUAUCUUGCCACAUUUAUAACAAGUUGAAGUUUUCUUUUUGAAGGUUGCUUUAUUAUUAUUAUUUUUUACAAUUUUCUUUUGAUAUUUUGACUCAAUUAAUGGCCUUUUACCCUUUGUAUUAUUUUGUUUAUUUUUUCCUUUUGAGGGGGCUAUUGUAUUAAAUUGAAUGUUUUCUUCAACUAACUUGAUAUUAUAAAUAUAUAAAUAAUUUUUUAAUUAAACACUUCAUUAAAAUUAUAUAAAAAAAAUUAUUCUAUUUUGAAAAUUAUUUGCUUCAGUUUUUUUUUUUUUUUUAAAACAAAGUACUACUUUGUAAACAAAUCUAACUAUAGUUGAUUUUAAUAAAAAAUUUAUUUGUACUUAUUUUUUUUAGUUAUAAAUGCAUCAUAUUAAUGUCUAUUUUCCUUCAAAAAAUUGUCUUAAUUACAUGUAUAUUAAUGCAAUCAAUAUUAAUACAAAUAAAUAUUAUAACACUAAUAUCAUAUUUUAAUAUAAUAUAUUAAAGUUUUAGAGUUUAUUGAUGAUAAUUUUUUAGAUAAUAUAUACAUUCACUUAACAAUAAUUAAAAUAGGAGGAAGAAAUAUGAAAAAUAAUAACAAAUAAAUGACGAUGUUACACUAACGACAACCAAUAAGUAGAAGACAAUUUUAAGGAUUUGUUAUAGGUAUUGGGUGUUGUAAGUUGGCAACUAGUUGUUGAAGUUGUAGAUCAUACUCGUGAACUUAUGUAAAGCAGUUUAAAUGUUUCUAUAAUACAAAAAUUGUUAAAAAGAAUGAAAUAUGAUGUGUGUAUUCAUUAAUAUCAAUUUAUUUUCAUGAGUUAGUUAAAUAUACUUACAUGAUAUAAUGGAUAAUGAUAAAAUCAACAACCUUUGUUCUUCUAUGUUUUUGGCAUGAAAAUGCACAUACAUCCACACCCACAGUAACACAUGGGUCUUUUUGUCCAUCUUACUUUUAAAAUUAUAAAUCAAAUUUAUAAGCAAUAUUUAAUCGCUAGAAAUUACAACAUACAUCACAUAACACUAAUGACAAUUAGUUAACAACUAUAUAUAAAUUCUAACAUAUAAUUGAAGUAUUAAAAAAUAUUUAGAAUUAAAAAUAGUACAAGCCAUGGAUUGAUAUUGAUAUAAUUUGCCCACAUCACUUGAGCAAUUUGAUUCCUACAGUUGUCAUAGUUGAUGCACUUUUAUUUGAUAAAUCAAUUGAGUGGCUUAUGCUACUUAUGCACUUUUCUUCACUUUAGAUUGAAAGAUCUUCUAUCUCAUUUUUCCUAAACAAUUAAUCAUUUCAUGUCGAUAGACAAAUCCAAUUAUGAAGGGUACAACAUGCAACAACAAUUGAUAAUUUUCAACUUAACUUAUUGUAGACCCUCCAUUUUGUCCUCUUAACAGGUGUGACACCAGGUGUUUUCCCAUACUUCUUUUUUUACUUGUAGUUGUCUCUUGGCUGCCUUUCGAGCUUAAUUUAGGCUCACUUAGACACACCUCCAUUAGGCACACUAGGCCCGUUUAGUUGUGCUUGGUCCAUUGGGUACACUCCUAGGUCACUUGACUCAUUUUUGAUCACCUUACAUCACUUAUGCACUUUUUUAAACCUUCUAGGCCACUUAGCACAUUUUUGAUCAUUUAGGUACUCUUGACCCAUUUAGGUAUACCUAAUCCAUUUAGGCUCAUUUGGACUCUCACUGUCACCUUGGCCACCUUUCGAGCUUAGGUUAGAUUUCACUUAGUUGAGUUCCCACUUAGCUCACUUAGACACCUCCUUAGUUUAAUUUCCACCUACUUCACCUUGGCACUUCCCACUUAGGUCACUUAGGCGUUUUUCACCUAGGUCACUUAGAUUUUUUUUGGGCUUAAUUCCCUUAGAUUGAUUUUUUUGAUUGCUUGAUUUUUGAGAUUAGGUGAGUAUUUGGCUUGAUUUUGAUUUUUGAUUGCUUAAGAUGAAUUUUCGAUAUUUAAUUGUGUCAAUUUGAUAUUUUAUUUAUUUAUUUAUUUAUUAUUGUGUUUUAGUUUAAUAUUUAGAUUAUUAAUUAUAUGCAUUUGAAAUUUAUUUAUUUUUCUUGUUUUAUUUAUUAAUUCAUCUACUUAUUUAUUUUUAGAAAAUUACAUGAGAUUGGUGGCUUUGUUUUUAAUUUGCAAUGAAAUAUUUUUCUUUUUUAAAAUUUGCAUGAUUUCUAUUUAUUUAUUUAUUUUUAUUAUGUUACAAGUUUCUAGCUCGUAUUUCUUAGAUUUUUUUUUAUGUGAAAUUUUUUCAACAAGGAGAUCUUCACACACACAUGUGUCACAUGGAAAGAAAACAAAGGAAAGAGAUGAAACUUUUAAAAAAUAAUAAACCCAAACCAUUUUGGAAAUAAACGAAGAGGUUGCCAAUGAGAGAAAAUGAAAGAAGCGUCAUGCACACCAUGGGAAUUUGAGUGGCAUCAUGGGAACCAGGACUGCAUGGAAAAAAAAGGAGUUUUGAAGAAAAAACCAAGGGUGAAAAAAAAAAAGAUAUGUGGGAAAGGAAAAUUUUAAAGAGAAUGAAGGUUGAGGGGUUUUCCAAAGGAAAAGGGGGUUAUUGAAAAUGGAGCCGUGUGAGGAGUCUUAAAAAGAGGAGAAAAAAAAAAAAACCUUUAGGAGGAAGGAAGGAAGGAAGGUGGGUUGUUGGAGAAAAAGAAGGCGGUGAUGAGAUAGAUCAUAAAAUAUAUCCUCUUCCAAAGCCAAGUUCAAACCAGCUUGUACUUCGAUUGAUUAAUGCAUAAAAAAGUUGGUUGUUCAUCUUCUUCGAAGCCAGCAUUGAGAGCUCUAUCCAGAAGGGCACACAACUUUGCCUUUCUUUGGCCAUUACCAAUCUGGGUCUCUCUAUGUUGGAAUCUGGUGAUCCUAAAGGUGGCAUUUUUUUUUUUUUGUUCAGUUCUUUUGAUGGGUUUUCAAUUUCAAUUGUUCUUGUGAUUGGUCACUAGGAGUUUCUAUAUUGCUUUGUUGCAUAAACCCUGGAUUUCAGUUCCUUAAAGAAUUUCUAUUUGUUUUCCUGUUUCUGAUGAUGGGUUGUGGGAAAAUUGGAUUAUUUGUCAUCCGGGUUUCAUCAGUAUUGUGUUUGGCAUGUUGUUGUGGGUCUCAGGAUGAUUAUCUUAUCGAUUGUAGAUCAACCACCAAUAUUUCGAUGUCUGGUCGCGUUUUUCUUGCUGAUACCUUGAGUUACCUUUCCAUACUUGAAAAUUUUUCGGCCAAUACUACCACAAAAUCAGACUCAUCAUCUGAUGAUUUGCUGCUAUACCAGACGAUAAGGAUCCUUACUAGAACCUCUAAGUACAGGUUUUCAGUCGGGAGCAAUAGGUGAUACUGGAUCUGCAUUUAUUUCUUCCCAUUUGUUUAUGAUACCUAUAACAUGAGAACUGCUAAUUUCUCUGUUUCCACCUAAAAUCAUGUCCUUAUAAGCAAUUUCAGUCCGAAGGCUAGUUCUGUUAUGAAGGAAUUCUCUGAAAAUGUGACUUCGGAUACUCUUGUUAUCACAUUCGCUCCUUCCAAUGAUUGAGUUGCUUUCUUGAAUGCCUUAUAAGUUGUUUCUGUACCAAAUGAGAUGAUUAGUGAUGAUGCCAUCACCAUCACACCGUCGGGGAAGUUCAAGGGCCUUAUGACACAAGCGCUGGAGACGGCUGCAAGGGUGAAUAUGGGUGGACCAAUGGUCAUCUCUGAGAACGAUACCCUUUGGUAAACUCAGUUCCUUGAUCAAAAUUUCUUCGUAGAGAAUAAUCUUACAACCAAUGUAUCAAAAAUUGGAGCUGUCACAUAUGUGAAUGGUGUAAUAUGAUUUUGAAACAUUAAGCGUGCUGAAUGUUUCUUGGCUUUGGACUAGUCCCCAAUCCUAGCUUGAUUAAACGCCCCAACCAAAGCUCUCUUCUUCCACACAGCCCGGUUCAACCGCGUUCUAGAGCUGUUGCAGCUUGCUCCUUCAACGCCGGCCUAGACUACUGCUCCACCGGUGGCUGUGGUAGCUCUCCUUGUUGCCAUGGGAUGGGUGGCACUCCUUCGGCCACCCUCCAACACCACAAGCAGAAGCAUUGUCCCGUCCUCUUACUUUACUCCUCUGUUAAGAUUAAAAAUUUAUAUACUUAUUUGUUUUAUUUACUUUUUUUUUAUUCUCAAAUUACUUUUAAAAUCCUUUUUUAAUUUAAUCUUUAAAAUUUGAUUCUCAAAUGGUUUUUCUAAAUUUUCCAAACUUAUUUUUUAAAAUACAACUUUCAAUUAGUUUUUUAAAACUUAUUCUUUAAAAUACAACUUUCGAAUAGUUUUCUAAAACUUAAUUUUUAAAAUAAAACUUUCAAAUAGUUUUCUACUUUUUUUUAAAAUUCGAUUCUCAAAUAGUUUUUUUAAAUUUUUAAACUUAAUUUUUUUUAAAAAAAAAUAUUAUUCUCAAAUAAAAUUCUAAAGUUCCAAUUUUUUAAAAUACUAUCUUCAAAUAAAUUUUCCAAAACUCUAAAAUUCCAAAAUUCUAAUUUAAAAAAAAAUACUAUCUUCAAAUAAAUUUUCCAAAACUCUAAAAUUCCAAAAUUCUAAUUUUUUAAAAUACUAUUUUCAAAUACAUUUUCUAAAAUUCCAAAAUUUUAUUUUUUUUAAAUACUAUCUUCAAAUACAUUUUCCAAAAUUUCAAUUUUUUUAAAAUAUCAUUCUUAAGUUUUCAAAUACAUUUUCAAAAAUUUCAAUUUUUUUUUUUAAAUAUCAUUUGUAAGUUUUCCAGAUUUCCAAAAUUUCAAACUUAUUUUUUUCAAAUACUAUUCUUAAGUUUUCCGGAUUUCCAAAAUUUCAAAUUUAAUUUUUAAAAAAAUAUCAUUUCACAUAAUUUUCCUAUUUUUUCAAAAGUUUCAAAAUUCCAAAAUAAACUAUUAUUCUCAAAUAAUUUUCCGAGAUUCUAAAAUUCCAAUUUUUUUUUAAAGUACCAUUCUCAAAUAAAUUUUCAAAAAUUCUGAUUUCCAAAUUUAAUUUUUAUAAUGCAAUCUUCAAAAUAAUUUUUUCAAAACCCUAAAUUUCAAAUUUAAUUUUCAAAACUUCCUUUUUUUUUUAAUAAAUAAGUUUUCAUAACUCCAAAAUAAUGGAAUUGAUGAGAAUUAAUUCAUAACAAAAUAAAUUGGGCUUUGGUGGGAGGGCCUGACAUUCAUAAUAUUUUAAAAAAAAAUAUUCAAGUAAACUGUGUGAUCGAUUUUGUUUGAUUUUGAUUUGGUUUUGUGUGAGAUUUUUUUUUACACUUGUCAUUGUACACUAACCUUGUUUUCAUGAUAGCGCUUUCUACCAAGGUACACUUUCACCUUUAUUUUGUUUAUUAUUUCGUUAUCAUGACUUGUUUUUGAACUAUGAUCAUUUUGGUAUAUUGAUCUCCUAGUUAAUAGGCAUGCCUGCUUCACUUUAGUUAGUAGAGACUCAUUUUUAGGGGCUUAGAGGGGUGCAUACGGUCUUUAUCGUACCUUCCCACUAAGUAACCUGAUCCCCAAACCCAGUUUUGGUUUUUCAUAGACCGUCUUUUCCAAAAAUUAAGAGUCCUUUUAAGGGUUUUAUUCUUACGUAUUUUUCCCUUUAAAAAUAAAUAAAAGUAAGUGGCGACUCCAACUCUUUAUAAAAAUUAGUUUUCCACUUUAAUCAAAAGCGAGUCUUGCCAAUUGUGUGGGAACGCAUCGAGCCAAAAAUGUGGGGUCAACACUUAUAACAAGACAUCAUCCUUAAUAUUGGAAACUAUUUUUAAAACAUUAAAACACCUUUUAAAAAAUAUUUUGAAAGGAUGAAUGUCUAUAAUUAAAAAGUUCUCUAUACCUAACAAGUUGAUUACAUCUAUCUCGAUAUUCUUGUAAGUGAUAUUAUUCACCUCAAUAUGGUGGUAGAAAUCUAGAUGUACAAGGAUAACUAGAAUCAACCAAAUAAUAUUUCCUUCACUUGAACAAGGAAAAUGAACAUUUGGUUUAGUCAAUGCAUUAAAAAAGACACAUGCAUUAGUCGUUGUUCCUUCCUAAUCGACAUAAACAAAUGUGAACAUCAUGUCAAAAUCACAUACACACAUUAUAUUUUGUGUUAUAAUUGUUUUUCUACCAUUAAAACUAGUUUGUCUAUCAACUAAGACCUAUGUGCUAAUAUGAAUGUCAUCAAUUGCACUAAUGUAGUCUUACAACAAGAAAAUGUUUAUUAGCAUUAAGGAAAGAAAACAAUGGGCAUGAAAACUUGUUUUAAGUGUAUCAAGUGUCUUGUCAAUUAUGAAAUGAUUUCCAUUUUUUUGUCACAAAAAUGGUAAAGGAUAGAUAAGUAUAAUUGAAAGCAUAAUAUAUAUACAUAUAAGAAAAGUAAUCCAAAUAAUAUUUCUAAGCUUUAGGAAGAUGUGGAAAAGGAGGAAAGCUCAAGGUGCCUUGAGAGUGGAUCUAAGAUAUAAUAUAUGUAAGCUUAUUUAUGAUCUCUAUUUUAAUUAACUUAUUUAUUUAUUAUUGUUUUAUUGUUUUCUAAUUUAUUUAUUUGUUCAUUCAAUUAUUUAAUUUAAUAAUUUUGAUGCUUUUGCAAGGAAACUUACCAAUGGAAAAGAAAGGGUUGACCUUAGAUUUUUAUUUUUUUAAAGGAGAUUUAGUUUUUUUUUUUAAAAGUGAGAGAUUAAGUUUUAAAUUGAAAAAUCAUAUUGUUUAUCUAAAAAAGGGGAUAAGGUUGAAAUUAAGUUUUAAAAUGACAUUAUAAUUUUUAUUUUUUAUUUUUAAAAAGAUUUAGUUUUUUAAUUGGAAAAUCAUUUUUUUUAAAGUGAGAGAUUAAGUUUUAAAUUGGAAAAUCAGAUUGUUUAUCUAAAAUGAGAGGAUAAGUUUGAAAAUAGUUUUUUUUUUUUUUUUUUUUUGAAGUGAGAGAUUAAGUUUUAGAUUGGAAAAUCAAAAAGUUUUUUUUGGAAAAUAGAGAGGAUAAGUUUUAAAUUUUCAAAAAGAAGUUUAAAAAGAGGAGGUUAUGACUUGGGAGAGUUAAAAAGAAAGGUGGGCAUUAGGAAAUAAUGGGGGGCAAUGAAAGACUACACAGUGGGGGAAUCAAAGGGGAUCACGAGAUUUUGUUUUUUGUUUUUUUAAAGAACACCACCUAGAUUUUUUCUUUUUGGAGGAAAAAAAUGGCAACGGCUUAGCAUCAGAAAACACCAU